UACAGAGGUGGCAAGCGUUGUUCGGAAUUACUGGGCGUAAAGGGCGCGUAGGCGGCCUUCUAAGUCAGACGUGAAAUCCCCCGGCUUAACCUGGGAACUGCGUCUGAUACUGGGAGGCUUGAGUAUGGGAGAGGGAUGUAGAAUUCCAGGUGUAGCGGUGAAAUGCGUAGAUAUCUGGAGGAAUACCGGUGGCGAAGGCGGCAUCCUGGACCAUUACUGACGCUGAGGCGCGAAAGCUAGGGGGGCAAACGGG
rnacentral:rRNA from 1 species